rnacentral:rRNA from 1 species
GUCUGAGAGGGGUAAAGCCCUCGGCGAACUGCUCAGUAACACGUGGAUAACCUGACCUAGGGUGGAGGAUAACCCCGGGAAACUGGGGAUAAUACUCCAUAGGCUACGGAAGCUGGAAUGCUCUGUAACCCAAAGCUCCGGCGCCCUAGGAUGGGUCUGCGGCCGAUUAGGUUGUUGUUGGGGUAACGGCCCAACAAGCCGAUCAUCGGUACGGGUUGUGGGAGCAAGAGCCCGGAGAUGGAUUCUGAGACAUGAAUCCAGGCCCUACGGGGCGCAGCAGGCGCAAAAACUUUACAAUGCGGGAAGCCGUGAUAAGGGGACCCCGAGUGCCUGUACACGCAGGCUGUUCAGGUGUUUAAAACGCAUCUGGAGA